rnacentral:rRNA from 1 species
UACGAAGGGGGCUAGCGUUGUUCGGAAUUACUGGGCGUAAAGCGCACGUAGGCGGAUUGUUAAGUUAGGGGUGAAAUCCCAGGGCUCAACCCUGGAACUGCCUUUAAUACUGGCAAUCUCGAGUCCGAGAGAGGUGAGUGGAAUUCCGAGUGUAGAGGUGAAAUUCGUAGAUAUUGGGAAGAACACCGGUGGCGAAGGCGGCUCUCUGGACCGACACUGACGCUGAGGCGCGAAAGCGUGGGGAGCAAACAGGG